UGAAGAAGGCUGCUGGUUAAGUUCAUUAACAUUGUCUAGAAAAUUGUAUUGAGAUCUUAAGCAAAUUGCAACUAUAAACAUGUGACUCUUUGUUUGUUUGCUUGUGUUUUGGGGAUUGAACUUGAGUCCUUGUGCUUUUGAGGCAGGCUGUGGAACCACUGAGCUAAAUUCCCGGCCCAGUAACUCUUGACAAAGCUUCCUUCCUUGGUCAAACUGCAAUCAGGCUCUGGAACCUUUUCCUAAGCCCGUCCGUGCACUUUCCUAUGAAAUCCAGUUUCAGCAAGAAGCCUGCCGAGUCAGUUUAGCAGGAACCGCUGUCUGUAAUAGCCGGUCAAUAUUCCAUCAGGAUCCUCACCUGCUACCAUAUCCAGGUGACACUGACUGCACUACUCUGCCUUCAGCAAGAAUCCUGGUCAGAUGGUUCAGCCCGACUCCCCCUUAACUGGGCGUCUCCUCUUAGUGAUUUUCCAUGCAUGGACCCUGCCCUGCGCCUUGGCUAAAAAUCCCCACUUGCCUAUGCUGUUUUUGGAGUUGAGCCCAGUCUUGCUCAGUUCAGAAUCUCACCGCUGUGGUCCUUAUGUUUAUCCCAGUGGUCCGGAAUAGUCUGCUUUACCGGGUGUACUCAGUGUCAUCGGACAACUGCUUCUCAAAUGCUCUUUGUCACUGGAUUUUCAGGUAUUUUGGUGCUCAUUCCUGUCAGCCAGGUGGGGACGUAACCCUGAGCCUCACAUGUGACGAGCAGAGGCACCAGAGCGCCCAGCGUGACUGGAGGCACCCAGCUUCCUAGGGCUCCGUGGGCCCCUCCUCUGCCCAGAGAACCCCCACAUUCACCACAUUCUCCAGGACCGUCGAAGGUGGGCAUGUACGCCCCACGAAAGCGGCAAAGGCCUUUGCUUGGGCCUGGGCCCUGGGGGAAGAGGCAGGGUCCGCAGCAGCAGGUGCCACCCACCUCAUCCAGGGUUCCUGAGCCCUCCCUCCCGAAAUGCUGUUGUUGCCACAAGAGGGGAUUCAUAGCUUUGUGUUCAAUAAACACUGCGCCACCCAUGUGGGCUGUAACAGGGCCAUGGGAAGAGAGAGAGAGAGAGAGAGAGAGAGAGAGAGCCGGUGAGAAGAGAAUGAAUUCCCAGCGACCAGCGGAGAAGUAUCUCACCCACCUGCAGGGCUCAGGAAAGACUUUCUGGAAGAAAUGCUAUUGGAGUCUUAAAGGGAAAGCACAAGUUUAGCAGUUAAGGGUGAGAAAGCUCCAAGGGAGACAGCACUGUGCAUACAGCAAGUUACAGGUAUUUUAGGAGCCAAGACAGUGGUUCUACAGUGGGGGCCCUGAGGCCAUUUCUGGGGUGUGCCAGGUCUCCUCAUUCUCUGAUAGGUUUACAGGGAGUUUGCAGGGCGUAUGAAGUGUCAUAUCACAACAGAUUAACUGCAGAGGCAGAUGAGAAUCUAGCUGUUACUUAGCCAGACACUUAAGAGAUCUGCAAAAAUGUAAAAUAAUGCCAAUCAUUUAUUCUUGGUUUAGAAAAUAGAACUUUUUUUCAUAAACUAUAUCUUAUUUAUCUAACGUGAUAGGUUGUAUUACUGUUAGUUUAAAAUUUUAAAAACUGUUAAAAAGUUUCCCAGGUUAAAUUUCUGAUAUGGUAAUAAACUGGCAGAUAGAAUUCAAGUCAACAACAGCUCUUCGAAGUUCUCGGGGCUGUUUUUGAGAGUGUUGAGAGACUUUUCAUAGGUUCUUGGGGAUCCUGAGAUGGGGCAUAGCCUUGGGUUGCAUGGGCCCCAGGUGGCUCUGAGAGGGAGGAAGAGGGUCAACGUCAGAGAAGCUUAAAAAGACAGGAAACAGAUUCUCCCCGGCCACCUCCCCAAAGAAGGCAGCCUGAUGACACCUUGGGUGCAGACCCAUUUUCCAAGUCCUGGCUUCCAGAACUUUGAGCUUGUUCAUUUAUGUUGCUUUAAGCUGCAGGUUGUGACAAUUUGUUACAGCAGCCAUGGGAAAGGAAUACACUUCUCUCCUAACUUGACCAACACUGAAUUCCUCAAAUAGUCCACUGGUAUCCAGCUCAGAAUUGAGCUGUGUUCAUCUCAGAGAUGGCAACUAUGUAACCACAGUUUAUAUCUUGUUUCCUUUUCAUGGAAUCUGGUGGAUGAGAAUUGUUUAUGUUGCAUGUGGUAACCCAAG
rnacentral:lncRNA from 1 species